CGCUGGAGGAGGGGGCCGGCGGGGAGUGACUCCAGGAGGACGCGUCCAACUUCGAGACCGGUGGGGGCCGGCUCCGCUCUUCCAACCCCUCCGUGUGUUAGGAGGGCGGACGACGCAGCGGCGGAAGAAAAAUAAGCUAGUCUAGGACACCUGUCCAGGAGACGUGGAACCCAGUAAGGGAAUAAAGAAGCCUUGAAACGUCUCUCCCCUCCCCUCUCCCGGUCCCUCACCCUAAUCCGCGCGGAAUGGAAAAGACGGAAGCGACAGGCCACGAUGAGGGCGGGGCGGGGUGGGGGGAAACAAGGGGAAGAAAUCUCGCGAUAGGACAGCGGUCCGGGCGGGGGUGGCACCUCUCCCUCCUCCUCCUCCUGGCGUUAGUUCCGGUCGCAGAGGAGACACCGCCGCAGUUGCCGCUACAUCGGGGAUUUCUGGCUCUUUCCUCUUCGCCUUAAAUUCGGGUGUCUUUUAUGAAUAAUCAAAAGCAGCAAAAGCCAACGCUAUCAGGCCAGCGUUUUAAAACUAGAAAAAGAGAUGAAAAAGAGAGGUUUGACCCUACUCAGUUUCAAGACUGUAUUAUUCAAGGCUUAACUGAAACCGGUACUGAUUUGGAAGCAGUAGCUAAGUUUCUUGAUGCUUCUGGAGCAAAACUUGAUUACCGUCGAUAUGCAGAAACACUCUUUGACAUUCUGGUGGCUGGUGGAAUGCUGGCCCCAGGUGGUACACUGGCAGAUGACAUGAUGCGUACAGAUGUCUGCGUGUUUGCAGCCCAAGAAGACCUAGAGACCAUGCAAGCAUUUGCUCAGGUUUUUAACAAGUUAAUCAGGCGCUACAAAUACCUGGAGAAAGGUUUUGAAGAUGAAGUAAAAAAGCUGCUGCUGUUCUUAAAGGGUUUUUCAGAGUCGGAGAGGAACAAGCUGGCUAUGUUGACUGGUGUUCUUCUGGCUAAUGGAACACUUAAUGCGUCCAUUCUUAAUAGCCUUUAUAAUGAGAAUUUGGUUAAAGAAGGAGUUUCAGCAGCUUUUGCUGUAAAGCUCUUUAAAUCAUGGAUAAACGAAAAAGAUAUCAAUGCAGUAGCUGCAAGUCUUCGGAAAGUCAGCAUGGAUAACAGACUGAUGGAACUCUUUCCUGCCAAUAAGCAAAGUGUUGAACACUUUACAAAGUAUUUUACUGAGGCAGGCUUGAAAGAGCUUUCAGAAUAUGUUCGGAAUCAGCAAACCAUUGGAGCUCGUAAGGAGCUCCAGAAAGAACUUCAAGAACAGAUGUCCCGUGGUGAUCCAUUUAAGGAUAUAAUUUUAUAUGUCAAGGAGGAGAUGAAAAAAAACAACAUCCCAGAACCAGUUGUCAUCGGAAUAGUCUGGUCAAGUGUAAUGAGCACUGUGGAAUGGAACAAAAAAGAGGAGCUUGUAGCAGAGCAAGCCAUCAAGCACUUGAAGCAAUACAGCCCUCUACUUGCUGCCUUUACUACUCAAGGUCAGUCUGAGCUGACUCUGUUACUGAAGAUUCAGGAGUAUUGCUAUGACAACAUUCAUUUCAUGAAAGCCUUCCAGAAAAUAGUGGUGCUUUUUUAUAAAGCUGAAGUCCUGAGUGAAGAGCCCAUUUUGAAGUGGUAUAAAGAUGCACAUGUUGCGAAGGGGAAGAGUGUUUUCCUUGAGCAAAUGAAAAAGUUUGUAGAAUGGCUCAAAAAUGCAGAAGAAGAAUCUGAAUCUGAAACUGAAGAAGGUGACUGAAUUUUGAAACUACACCCUCAGUAAAGCAAACAGGAGUUGUAGAUAAAAUGUCAUGUCUCAUGUGUCCUGGUUCUUACAUCUUCCUACCUCCCUGUAUCAAGCAUGAUAUAAGGGCUUUCAUGGCAAAUUUUAUUUUAACUGUUUCUAUGGUUGCUGGAAAUGUUGGGUUUAGUUUCUAAAACCAUGUUUUAAGUAGCUACAGGAGCUAUAGAUUUGAAUCUAAUGUUGCAUUAGUCUUUUCAGUUAUCUUCUACCUCCUGUAUUUUCUACUGUAAUAAUGUAAUUUAAGGACUUCCACAAUGAACAGUUCACUUUAUUCCCUGGGUUUUCUAUAAACAGUUUUCAAGAUAUGAUUUGGUUAAAAAAUAAUUUGUUAUAAAAAUUCUGUUUGCAAAUUAAACUGGAAAAGUAUCCAAAGUCUCAAAAGGCAAUGAUUUGUGUGAUAAUAUGGCAUGCCCAGAGCCCUACUCAUCAAUGAAAACCCCAUAUGUAAUAAUCGAAGUAACCUCUCCCGAAAUCCUCCUCUCAGGCUUACUUUUAGCUUUUCCCUUUUUUUUUUUUUUUUUUUUUGCAUUUUUAACUCCAGAUGUCCUAAAGCUCAAUUGUUUGCUCUCUGGUUUUCAUCCUUAGAGAAGCCAUGGAGAACAGACUUGAGAAGUUUAGGAAAUCAUAAUGGGAAGAAGAAAGUUGAGCUUUUUUCCCUUGAGAAACUUAUGCAUUUAGUUUGUAUCUUUCCAGGCAAAACAAAUGGGUAUUCUUUUCAUACAGCCAUUUUCAAAUGAACCUUAGAAAAGUCUUAACAUUUAAGGUAUUUUAUGCACAGAAUACACUUAGAUUGAUGGGAAAGAACUCAUAACGGAGUUUGAGUGAAGAAAAUGACUGAUGUACUAAACCCAGUAGAAAUUGUUGAAAAUGUUAAAGGUCAGCAUGUUCUAAUUGGGAAUCUAGAUAUAGCUUAGAUUUCCUAUUGUCUUAGAGUAUUUGCUAUAACAAAUGAAGUGCAAUGACAAUUAUAUAUUCCUACUCGGUCAUACUGGACUGGCUUCGUUCUCUUAACAUACUCAGUAAUGACUCAAGCCUCUGACUAUUAACAUACCCUAGUUGCCAUUUUUUAAUUGCCAUGAGCCAGAUACUUCUUGGUAUACAAUUGAACCAUUUAUUUUAAUGGCUGCCUUUUCAUUUUCAUCUUUUCUUGCUGCUACCCAUCUAUGUAUGUAGUCAUUGGGGGGAAAAUGUAGCCACAUUUUUUAUGGGAAGACUUUGUGUUAAAAGUGAACAUUUUGAAGGUUUUUAACUGGUGAAACUAGCCUGGAAUAAUGCCACCAGAGACUGAGUGGAAAUCGCCCCUUUUGAAGGUGCCAUUCUUAUGAGCCAAAAGUUUGUCAUUUAAAAGUUCAUUUUGAGGGAAUAACAUGUAAUAUAAUUUGAAAUAAAGGUAUAGAACCUUAAAAAGAAUAUUAUAACUGAUUGUUGUGAAUGGGGUGAAUUUGUUAAAUGAAUAACUUUGAUAAAGUUUUUCAUGCACAGACAAAAUGUAUUCACUAGAUUUCUACGUAGUGAUCUGCUUUUACUUUGUAAUUUGUAGUUCUCAAAAGACUUUUUUUUUAAAAAAUAAAGUCCAUACUUACACUUAGGCUUUA